UAUUAUUAUUAUUAUUAUUAAAUAGUUGUGUUGGUUCGUGUAUUGCACUAGUAGAACAAACAUUGCUUGGUUUAUGCCUAUAUGUCCCUAUAUGUUUACAUACAGAAUAAAUAAUAUUUUAAUAUUAUUUGUGUAGAAUUACAAUAAAAUCAUAAUAUUCAAUUGAGACAAAGCAGCUCAUUUUGGACUUGAGCUUUAAAUAAUGUGUGACAUCAGUGUUUUGUCAUUAAAAUAGAGGAAAGUCACAACUACACAUUUAGUCAUAAAAGGCUCCGCAAAUAUCAGCAAGUAUAUGUUUUCAGGUAGUUCACUUAUUAGUGUGAACUUAUUAGUGUGAACUUAUUAGUGUGAACUUAUUAGUGUGAACUUAUUAGGGAGCAACUAAAACAAAUGGAAUAGGACAGAAGGCUGGCUAUGACGUUCGGCUGAGGAGGAACACCAGGCGGCAGAGCACGAGGCAGAACCUGAGGAGGAAUGCACUGUACAAGAAAGACUGAAUGGCAAAAAGACUGAUAAGACGAAAACAACUGAGUCCACAGCAAGAUGCUGAGAUUCACAUCAAAAACAAGACAGACAAACUGGGUCUUGAGGAGAGAUUUAUUAGCUCUUCUAAAGGACGAGGUGUAUUUGCGACUGCCAACUUUUCCAAAGGAGAUUUUAUCCUGGAAUACAGAGGCCAACUCUUAACACAAAAUCUCAUUCAAAACAUUAAUUCAGGAACAGUG